UACGUAGGGCGCAAGCGUUAUCCGGAAUUAUUGGGCGUAAAGAACUCGUAGGCGGUUUGUCGCGUCUGCCGUGAAAGUCCGGGGCUCAACUCCGGAUCUGCGGUGGGUACGGGCAGACUAGAGUGUGGUAGGGGAGACUGGAAUUCCUGGUGUAGCAGUGAAAUGCGCAGAUAUCAGGAGGAACACCGAUGGCGAAGGCAGGUCUCUGGGCCACUACUGACGCUGAGAAGCGAAAGCAUGGGGAGCGAACAGG
rnacentral:rRNA from 1 species